rnacentral:lncRNA from 1 species
AAAAAUAACGUUUUCAUCGGAUUUAACGUCUCAUUUCUCAUUACACAAAUGAAUUGAGUACACGUGUUCCACUUUUCCUAUUUUAUUGUGGUGUUAUAAUGAUGAUGAUGCAUUAGAAAAAAUCUCGAGAGAAAAUCUCUACAGUUGCAAAUGCCAACAUGUCUGUACAAUCUAAAAAUAAUUACAUCAAGUCUGCCAUUAUUGUGAAGAAAUAAUUUGUUAUACAUUAAUUUUAACAAUAUAAAACAAUCAAUAACACAAAUUUUCACACAUUUUAAGAUGCCAAACUUAGCCCUGUUUGGCCUCAUUAAAUUAUAAUUUAUUUUUCUCUUUUUUUUUUUUUUUUAUCAGUUACGCAUUUAAAAAAAAUAAAAAUAUUACACUUUAAUUCUGAAGUAAUUCAUCUAAAUCUUGAUCCAUGUCAGGUACCUGAUUACGCCAGCACUGAUAUCUCAUGGGACCCAUCUCCAUUUCCCAAUCCUUGAUGAAGUCUCCUUCAAGUUAACAUCCCUUCCUCUGAUUGAUUGAUAUACCACUUUUUCUCUUCCCUGAAAAUCUGGGAUUUCCAAUUUUUUAAAAUUUUCCCUUUUUCUUUAGUUUUUUAAAGUUUAACUCUCUUUUUUACACCUUGGAAUUAGCCAAUCCUGGAAGUCGCAUUCACAGAUCUCGUACGUGGCGAUAUUCUACUGGUUGACAUCUCCUGAGAAAUUCACAUCCUGUGGCAAUCAAACAUUAUAAAACUUUCACGUCACCAUUUAAGUGUUUCAACAUGUAAUCCUGACAUUCAUGACCAUGUUAUCGCUUCUUCACAAGACAACUCAACAUCAAAACUAUGAUAAGGCCAGGGCAGGGUCGGUGUGGGCCCUUAAGAUUGGAGUUCAACCUUUAUGAUAAGGCCAGUUCCAGUUUUUAAU